UCUGUCAUUGUGUCUGUCUCCUGCUCUGACCCCUCCAUCAGCCAAGUGCUUUGUUUUGUCAUCGCCAUAUUUAAUGAGGGGAUCAGCCUGGUAAUUAUGCUCACUACUUACACACCCAUUUUUGUCACUUUCCUAAAAACGCCUUCUGCAGGUGGGCACCAGAAAGCCUUCUCUACUUCUGUCUCCCAUCUCACCGCCAUCACCCUUUUCCACGGGACGGUCCUAUUCCUUUAUUGUGUACCCAAAUCCAAAAACUCAUGGCUCAUAGUCAAAGUGGGUUCUGUACUUUAUGCAGUGGUGAUUCCCAUGCUGAAUCCUCUGAUCUACAGCCUCAGGAACUAAGAUGUGAAAGAGAGUGACAGGAAGUUAAUGAAUUGCUUAAUACAAUGUUGUUGAAGUUUUGUAUUUCCAAAAGAAAUGUGAUCAUUACAUAGAGCACUGUUCAAUGCUUCUCGUAGAGAUGGUGAUUCCAAUUACAUAGUCAGCUUAUGAGGUUUUUAAUCAAAUAGUCAUAAACCACUUUUUUGAUCAUUUGGUUUCUAUUCAGUUCAAUGUAAAAGAGCUGUAAACCAAAUGUGAAAUAACAUAAAUAUUGUGGGUGUAUCGGUGUCCCCCCAAAAUGUCCACAUCCACCCAGAAGCUCAGAAUGUGACUUUAUUUAGAAACAGGAUCUUGGCAGAUGUAAUUAAGGUAAGAAUCAAGAUAAGAUGAAAGUGAACCGUAAAUCCAAUGCAUGUGUCCUUAUAAGAGACGGAAAAAGACAUACAAAUGUACACAGGGAUGAAGGGGUAUGAAGAUGCAGGCAGAGAUUUCCCCUAUUCUGAUCCACACCAGCGGGCUUCAGGGGCCACCGGAAUCUGAGAAUGCAAGGAAGAGAGAGCCCUACCUUUCCCUGGAGUUCAAGCUUCCAGUCUUGGGAACUGUGAGGUAAUACAUUUCCAUUGUUUAAACCACCAAGUCUGUAGUCAUUUCUUCCAGCAACACGAGGAGUCUUACUUAACAAUAAAUAACAGACCAUAAAAUCUUGACUCAUACACUGGUGCAGUAAAUCAUUUUUUUUGAAAAAUAUUAUUCCAUUCCAUACAAGUAAUCUGAAUCUCAGGAUUAGAGAGCAAUUCUGAAAAGUUUUAGCUGACUCAGAGUGUGAAUAUGGGCCAAUUAGCAAUGAGAUCCUGGAGGGACUAGGGACCAUCUCUAAAAUCAGGCCAAGUUCUUUAUACUCCUUUCUUCCUAAGGCCUCCUGCGCUUUUACUGUAAUAUAGGAAAUGACGUUAAAUACAAUGACCCUGACUUUCAAGGAAAAGUGUGGAUUUUAUAUCUGGAAAGAUUAACAAGGGGCUGGACCAAAAAUGCACAAUUAAUUGUUACUAAUCCCACAUAUUUCACAGCCUGAUGUGUCAAACUUGAUACUGUAAAUUUUAUUUACUAAUAUGAUGAUUAUUAUAAUACAGUUCAAAAAAUUUCUCUAAUUAUUGUUUUGAUUUUAAAUGUUAAUUGUUAGUUAACUACAUGUUCUACUUGUAUGGCAUAGAUUCAUGUGCCAGACAAAUAUGGCAGGGUUACACUUAUUUUAAUUGUCCUCUAAAUUUAUUAUUCAUCUGUUGGUCUUAACCUAUUGAGUGACUGAGUUAGAAAAUAAUUCAAAAUGUCAUCUGUGUUUAUCUCUCGUUGACCAUAGUCUGUAUCACAGAAAUUUCCUUAUGAUAUGUACUGUAUGGAUGUGUGAUAUUGUGGAUCCAUAUCACCUUCAUGAUUAAAUAAUAGCCACAUCUCCAGAGCACGUGUGUUGGUCUCAAAUAAAACACUUAACUUCACCUUAUACUAUAAAGGUAUGUCACCCUACCUUGUGAGUAGGUAGACAACUAUAAAACAUAAAGUAAACAGAUAUCUUACUUUUAAUUUUUCUUAGUUAUAAAGCAGGUUACCCAUGUGACUACCAUAAUAUUCUGACCAGUUACUAAAGUACCCUAUUGUCCAUUUUACAGAUAAUGCUACUCAAAGGCUGGUCUUCAUUCUGGACAAUGAAAUGAAAAUUUUCAGUUUUAAUUCCAUCAGGAAGGAUUGUAUCUCUCUUUCUUCUUUUUUUGUCUUUUGUCUUUUUAGGGCCACACCUGCAGCAUAUAGAGGUUCCCAAGCUAGAGGUCUAAUCAGAGAUACAGCUGCUGGUCUACACCACAGCCAUGACAAUGUGGGAUCCGAGCCAUGUCUUCAACCUAGAGCAGAGCUCAUGACAAUGCUGGAUUCUUGACCCACUGAGUGAGGCCAAUAUUGUCGGCUGCACUUGUGGCAUAUGGAAGUUCCCAGGCUAGGGGCUGAAAUGGAGCUACAGCUGCCAGCUUAUGCCACAGCCACAACAAUGCCAGAUCUGAGACAAAUCUGUGACCUAUACCACAGCCCACAGCAAUGCCAGAUCCUUAACCCACUGAGCAAGGCCAGGGAUCAAACCCAAAUCCUCACAAACACUAUGUCAGGUUCUUAAUCUGCUGAGCCACAGCAGGAACUCUCUGGGACUACAUAUUUCUGUGUGUGUGUGUGUGUGUGUUUGUAUGUGUGGUAAUGGAUGCAAAAUGUAUAGACACUCCCUUUUCCAAAACACUUAUGACAAAGUAAUCAUUGUCAUCCAUUUGCCUUCAGAAAGAAUCACAUUAUUCCAUACUUUGUGGCACAUUGGCUUGCAUAUGGAGAAAACAUGACUUCUCUCUGGACUUGGAUUUAUGAAUGAAAGAGGAAAGAAGGUGAUAAAAGACAACAUAGAAAAAGGCAGAAAAAAAGUGCCUGAAUCUAUUAACUUAUUUUUAUUUUGCCAAAUCUCCAAAAUUUCCAUCAAACCAAGAUAAUUAUUGGUUUUAAAGCCUUAUUCCUCUUGCACACCAUUGAGGUGUGCAUGAAAACUCAGAUAUUGGUGCUGUGGUCCAUGAUGGACCCAAAGAGUCUGCAUUUCUAAUAGACUUCCAAGUAAGUGAUCUGGUAUUACAUGACAUUGGACCAGACUCUCCAGACUCUGUAGGAAUAUAAACAGACAUUUUUAUUUGGGGUAAAAUUCAGCUGGUUUAGAUGCAUGUCGGAUUGUAUAUGGAGUCAUCAGAGGCCCCUUAAUGUCAACUCCCCUUUUCCCCUUUCUUCCAUAGGCAACAGUUUGACUAGUUAUUAAACUGAUUUAAGUUAUGACUGAAAUAAAAUAAUUUUAAUCAUGAAAUUUUGAUAAUUUCACAAACUUUAUAACCAGCAUGGUUCCUUAAUGUGAAAUAUUUAAAUUAGAGAAAUAAAACCUUCAUAACCUUGGGUCUUAGUACACUCCCUUUUUAAAUUUUCUUUAAAGUUUUUAAAUCUUUGUAGAAGUUAGAAAGGCAAGAAACAUAUUCAAGCAGGGCUUUGUUGUAUAUUUUAAGAACAUUGGCUUUUACUUUAAGGGAAAUGGGGAAAUACGUAGGAUUUUAGAAGAGUGAUAUGAUGUAGCCUAAAUUUUAAAAGCAACAUGUCUAAUGUUGAGAACAAACUGUGAGAGAAGAAAAGGGAUAGAAAUCGGAAGCAUGUUAAGUAUAUGUAUAUAGUGUACAAAAGAUGAUGAAUUCUGCUUCUCUCUUUCCUCCUAAACCACACACAAUCCUUAAAAAAAAAAAUCUCAGUUUUAGCAGCACUGGUCUUAAAUGCUUCCUGAACAUUUGUAAGCCCCCGAAAGCUCACACAAUUUUGCUAUACCAGUUGUGUUCCAUCCUCCUGGCUGGAUACCACAGUCAGGUAUAGACCAUUNNNNNNNNNNNNNNNNNNNNNNNNNNNNNNNNNNNUGCGUGCUCUGAGUCCAUCAUAGUUAAUAUGUUUUUGCAUGAAUAUUUUGUUGCCCUUUUGUAUCCUGUUCAUUUUAUCAAGAUAAUGUGUUUAUUUUAGCCAAUUUCAAUGAAUUAAGAAAGCUCACAGUCAUCAUUUCCUAGUUUUCCUUUCAAUGAUUUUCCUAAAGGCACUUUCUACCUGGGAGCAACACAGAGUCCUCCCUAUCUGUGUCGUCCACCACCAUCGUCCUUUCUCUUCAUGGUAUGCUCAACUCCAAAUGCUCAUUGGGAAUUGUUCCAGGAGGGUCUGUGUUUUUACACUGUGCUAAUCCCUACGCUAAUCUCACUGAUAUAUACCUUGAGAUACUAAAGUGUGAACGAUCCUGUGAGGAAGUUAAUAGGCUCCAAAAUAUUUUAGUGCUCAAUCUAAUAUUGAUAAAUAUUUCCUGUGAAAUUAUUUAUGGGCCUAUUCAAAUGUUACCUUCCCAUAAAUUCUUCCCUAAAAACUAUAAUAAGAGAGUCAAACCUUGUCCAGUUGAUCCGACUUAACGUUUUUUUCAUAAUAAUAGAUGAUACGGUUAGUGCAUGCAAUGUUUUGUCUCUUGUUUGUUUCAGAAGAAUAUAAACUCUAAGAGUGGAAAUUUCUUAUAUUAUUAUUAUUGUACCUUAUAUCUCUACUGCCUGGAAAGUACCUAGAAAAUACAUUUGACCUUCAGUAGCUACUAUCUGGAUGACUAAAAGAAGAAAGGAAAUAUACAUUUCAGAUGAAACUGAUAAUAUUCAGUAUUAUGUUUUGUUCACUUAGGUAAGACUUUAGGUAUUGUCUCCGCAAUGAAUACAGUUGUCACUUGAGAUUCAAAAAGCUAAACAAAUGCAAAUAAUACACUCAGAUUAACUGUGAUUAUUUAUAUGAAUGCUUCUGCUGAUCAUUGAACUGUGGAAGAUAUUUCUAGUCUAAUAUUAAGUGCUUAGCUGUAGUUGAAUAUCCUAUAACCACUUACCAGUCUUGCAGUUGAUAGAACCAUAAAACUAAUGCUUCCACCAUCAAUGGUGUCUCUUAUAAUUAGGGUAAGAAUAGUUUUAAAAAACUGGUCAUUUUUAAUUUAAAGAUCCUUCCUUUUCAGAUUUUAACACAGAUUUCAGAAAAAAAAUUGAAUAGUUUAUUCAGUAAUAUAGUUAAUAUUUCAGGCAAUAUUGGAUCAUUGAAUUAUUUAGACUCAAAAAUUCAAACCUUUAAGGCUGUAGGUAUAAUUGAUAAAUAAUAUCCCUGGAUUAGAUGGACCCUGGUUCCCCAUAAUGAGAGAAAGUUGUGUAUAGCUUUGAUUAAGUACCAGAAGACUUCUGGAUCAUUCCAUAUAUUUUUGGCUAAAUUUCUUUGGGGCACUGGCCAAGCAAUAAUUUUGCUUAUUGGAAAGACUGAAAUAAUAAUGUAUCACCACCAGAAUUCUUGAAGUAUAGAACCUCAAAAAUAUAUGAUUCAUAAAUAAUUAUGCACAAUUCACAAGAAAAAGUGUCUGAAAUGUGUAAGUAGUCUGCAAAAUAUCUAUGCAAAGCUCUCUGUAAAAAAUAAUUUAUAUUAAGAAUUCUUGGAGUUCCCUUUGUGGCUCAGCAGGUUAAAUAUUCAACAUUCUCUCUAUAUGGAUGCUGAUUUGAUUCCUGACCUCAAUCAGUGGGUUAAGAAUUGGGCAUUGCCACAAACUAUGGCAUAGAUUACAGAUGUGGCUCAGAUCUGGUGUUGACAUGGCUGUGGUGUGUUUUGCAGCUGCAGCUCCAAUUCAACCUCUGGCCCAGGAACUUUCAUAUGCUGUGGGUGCAUAAAAAGAGAGAGAGAAAAAAAAGAAUUCUUAUAGGAGUUUCCACUGUGGUGCAUUGGGUUAGGGAUUCACCAUUGUUUCUGUGGUGGUGUGGGUUUAAUCCCUGGACCGGCAUAGUAAGUUAAGGAUCCAGUGUUGCAGUAGUUGUGGUAUAGGUAUGGUUGCAAUUGAGGCUUGAAUUCAAUCCAUGGCCCAGGAACUUCCACAUACAUCAGGUGCAGCCUUAAAUACAAAACAAACGAACAAAAAAGUUCUUAUAAAAGAUGGCCUCUCUUAAGACAAUAAAGAAAAUUUCUUUGUGGUUUUGGAGUAGGCAAACACUCAAAAAGUGAAAUAAACGUUACCACAUUAAAAUUAAAGCAUAUUUCAUUGAAGAACAUGGGGAUAUUAAAAAAGUGAAACCUCAGAAGGAGAGAAAAAAUUUGCAACAUAUUUAACAGACUAAAGAUCAACAUCUAGCAGUUCACAUUUUGGUGCAGUGGUUAACAAAUCCGACUAGGUUGCGGGUUUGAUCCCUGGCCUUGCUCAGUGGGUUAAGGAUCCGGUGUUGCCAUGAGCUGUGGUGUAGGUUGCAGACGUGGCUCGGAUCCUGCAUUGCUGUGUCUCUGGUGUAGGCUGGUGACUACAGCUCCGAUUCAACCCCUAGCCUGGGAACCUCCAUAUGCCUCAGGAAGUGGCCCUAGAAUAGGCAGAAAGACCAAAAAAAAUCAAUAUCUAUAAUCAAUAUGUGUUAAAUAUCAAUAUUGCAAUAUCUAUGACAAAUUAAUUGGGAAAGUCAUUAAUGAAAGUGAUAGUACUGGGAAAAUAAAACAAAUCAUCUUCAGUUUUUCCUUGUGUAUCCUCCAAAUAUUGUUUUCUGUGUAUAUCAUGUUAUGAGAAAAAGGGGGCAAAUCACUGCUCUGUGAAAACUCAAACACAUAUGCACAAAAAGAGAUCUACAAAAGCUCUUAAUAGUGUUCCAUUGUGGUGCAGUAGGUUAAGGAUCCAACAUUGUCCCUAAAGCAGCUUGUGUCACUACUGUAGUAUGGGUUUGAUCCCUGGCCUAAUAACUUCCAUAUGCCUCAGGCAUAGCCAAAGAAAAAAAAAAAA
rnacentral:lncRNA from 1 species